GUCAUUCGGUUUGACCUUCCUCAGCCACCGUAGGCUACGUCAGAGGUAAAUACUGUCUGUUAGCCCACCACUAGCUAAGCUUAGCUGUGAAGACAACAUGGCUUUUACUGUGUACUCUCUCAUUCAAGCAGCAAUCCUGUGCGUCAAUGCUGUCGCUGUAUUGCACGAAGAAAGAUUUCUUAGUAAAAUUGGCUGGGGAGUAGAUCAAAGUGUCGGAGGCUUUGGUGAUGAACCAGGCGUCAAAGUGCAGCUAAUGAACCUGGUCCGCUCUGUGAGGACAGUGAUGAGAGUGCCGUUGAUUGCAGUGAAUGCAGUCUGCAUAGUGCUGCUGCUUCUGUUUGGAUGAGGAGGAAGAGGAGACAAACCAGUCUGCUGUCGGGAGAACAUCUCCAUCACCUCAGGAAACCUUCUGCAGAAACAUUGGAUCACUUUGACUCACAACAUGUCUCCUGUCAGCCUGAAUGGGGAUAUUAUAAUUUAAUAUUUCACAUCAAUACAUGGGAUAUUUAUCAAGGCCUGUUUUGUACAGCACAGUAAUUCAAAAUAAAUACAUGCAGCUAUUUAGAAUGGUUAACAUCCUUCUUUUGAAUAGCACAAUAAAAUGCUUAAUAUUAAACACUUAAUGUGUCUAUGAUUUAACUAUCAAUAUAUAUUAAAAAAUAAAAUAACUUUCACGUGGAAGCUGACUGUAUAAUGUUUUCAAUGUAUACGCUGAAAACAUGUAAAUUAAUUUUUGUAUACGUGCUCUGAUUGUUGAAAUGCUGGCAAAGAAAAGAUGUUUUUAAAACUCUCUCUAAGUGUAUUUACGUCUCUCAUUUCCUGAAAUAGUCGAAUCUGUUGUGUUUGUCCCAGCUCGCCCUCCGUACUUUUGACAGUGUCGUGGACAUUGAUGUCCGCUCGUGUUUGUGUUUACUUCUUUAGUCCAGACCGAUUUACAAUUAAAUUAAAUACAUUAGUGAAUUAAAAUGUAGCGAUGUUUGCUAAUGCAUUUAUUAAACCCACGGCGUUGUAUUGUAAUAAUUAAUUUGAGUAAUAAUGGGUAAUGCACAGAGUUCCAUUGUUGCCUCGCUCUCUGUAUCUUGUGUGUAUUUAGUUUAUGUUCACAUUUACUGCUCUUAUAAGUUGUUGAAAACAAAUGUACUGAACGAGAGACUCCCAAGUGUUGUGUACCUUUACAUCAAAUGUGUGUCCAAAGCUCUGACUCGGAGGACAGGCUACUUGCACACAGCAUCUACAAGGAAGCGUGAAGUUGUUUACACGGUCCUCAACUGCAGGCUGGAGACUCCCUUGUUGAGGAGCUUCUGCGAUGCUGCAGGUUAUGGUUGGGAUUAUCCAGACACAGAAUAUAGAGACAUCCCAGUGUGCUUCCCAGAGAUCCUCUGCCGCAGACUGCUGCUUAUGGUGUUAACUGAUGAAAACUUCAGACUCAGCCCAGCAGGUCUGUUUCGUGUGCGUCAGAGUUUGAAAACCCUCCAGCCAGUUGAUGAACUGAAGAAGGGUCCGUUCAUGCUGCAGGUCAGAGUUCAGGAGUACCGGCAAAUUGAUGCAGGGGUGGAGGUCGACAUCGGUCUGUGUGCCACUUCUCGUACCGGAUGCCCAGUGUGGGAAAGCGUCCUGACACUGCUGUCCAAAAACGGGCUCCACAAAGCCAGCAGAUGCUUACCCAAGAAUGCACACGAAUGCCAACCAGAUGAACCUGCGCCAGAAAAUGUGAAGCAGAUAGAGGUCAGAGUUCCCAGGACUACCGGACUGCAGUGUGUUUGGUACUUCUCUGACUACUCACCCUAUCGGCUCCUCUCUCUAUCGGCCAGGCUCUUUGGCUCCAGAUCGCAGACCGCACCAAGUCUCUGGAUGCUGUCUGUCUGCCUGGCUGAAAUAGAAAAGCACAAAGGGGUUGGAGUUAUCACUGCUCCCAUCAACGUCACUGCCGAAUUUAAGGAGCCUCUUUUGGUACCAGGCAGAGUGAAAAUCAAGAUUUGGGAGAAAAACGGGGAUCAGUCUCCUGCCCAAGACCUCAGCUUCCACAUGCAGCAACAUGGGAGCAACGCAUCUCACAUGAUGGGAUUGAUUUCUAGGUGAUUGACUAACUUAUACGGUUAAUAUUUGUAGUUUCGUCAAUACACAAUAAAUGAUUUUCUUUCUGUUUUGUUCUGCUUCAAUUUGGAUAACCCGUUGUAUAAUCAAUGAAAUGCUGUAUGUUUCAUAGAUCUACUGUACAUGAGCACUUUGUCAGAUGGCAUGUCUACCGGUUGACUAUAGGCUAAUGCAGACACCAUCCCUACAGGGAAGGAAGACUUUUCAAUAUUUGACCCCUCUGUUAUUCCAGUUUGCAGCUUUCUUGUGUGUGAAGGUCUGUCCUCCUGUAUUAUUUAUUGGAACACAGUCAGUGAAUGUGAAGCCAUGCAUCCCUGCACCACUGUAACAUUUCAUGAAGGAAUCAUAAAAAGGAAUCAUGUUAGUGCGUUUUAGAGGUGCUUGUAGGCAGAUUUUGUUACUUUUGGACAGGCUAGCUGUUUCCUCGGUUUCCAGCAUUUAUGCUAAGCUAACUGGCUGCUAGCAUUCCUUCUUUAAUAAGAAUAAUUGUCCGAUAAGUGAACGUUCAUGUUGUGUUAUGUAGAUACUGAUUGUUUCCAGGUGAAAAUAUGUGCAGCCAUGAAUGUUAAAUUCGUUGAACUUGGGGGUGGGGGGAAAUAAAUAGUGGUGUGAUUUAAAUGGGUAGAGCGUCCCCGUGACUGCCUCCCUGCACACUGAGCAGUUGUAGUUUAUAAGAUGAGGGGAGGGCGUGUGUGUAGAGUCUCUGUUUAUAGACGACCAGACGGAGGAGAAAUCAGCUUCACCAGUUUUACUACAGAUCGGAGGGACACAUGCUGGCUCAUCCCACUUCCACCAUGUGAUUUUCAUAACAGCAACUUGGGGAAGAUUUCAACUGUGGAAGGCUUAGGGUAAAAGAUUUUUUUAAAUAUUUGAAUGCAAGUGGAUUUUUGUGAAAAUCAAGCUUUAUGCAGGAUUCUGUAUUCUUGUUAAAUCACUGUAAUUGAUAUAUAGCCUACUAGUGUAUGGGACACAGAUGUUCUGUCUCCCUACAAAAGGAACUUCAUUAAAUACUUCAACUCGUGGUUGGCAAUGAAGUAAUUCAAACUAAGGCGAGUCUUGGGUCUUUGAUUAAUUCAACAUUAUUGUCUUAUUCCUCCUCGUCAGUAUAAUUUCCCUCCGCCACAGGUAAAGCUGUUGUCAACCUUCUCAUAGUCACUGCUGAGACAAAAACAGCCACCA